rnacentral:rRNA from 1 species
UACGUAGGGACCGAGCGUUGUCCGGAAUCAUUGGGCGUAAAGAGCGUGUAGGCGGCCACUUAAGUCCUGCGUGAAAUCUUGCGGCUCAACCGCAAGCGGUCGUGGGAAACUGGGUGGCUAGAGUGCGGGAGAGGAGAGUGGAAUUCCUGGUGUAGCGGUGAAAUGCGCAGAUAUCAGGAGGAACACCGGUGGCGAAGGCGGGUCUCUGGGCAACAACUGACGCUGGAGGAGCGAAAGGCGUGGGGAGCGAACAGG